rnacentral:rRNA from 1 species
GUAACGGCGAGUGAAGCGGCAACAGCUCAAAUUUGAAAUCUGGCUCUCAGGGCCCGAGUUGUAAUUUGUAGAGGAUGCUUUUGGCGAGGUGCCUUCCGAGUUCCCUGGAACGGGACGCCACAGAGGGUGAGAGCCCCGUAUGGUCGGACACCGAGCCUCUGUAAAGCUCCUUCGACGAGUCGAGUAGUUUGGGAAUGCUGCUCAAAAUGGGAGGUAUAUGUCUUCUAAAGCUAAAUAUUGGCCAGAGACCGAUAGCGCACAAGUAGAGUGAUCGAAAGAUGAAAAGCACUUUGAAAAGAGGGUUAAAAAGUACGUGAAAUUGUUGAAAGGGAAGCGCCUAUGACCAGACUUGCGCCCGGUGAAUCACCCAGCGUUCUCGCUGGUGCACUUUGCCGGGCACAGGCCAGCAUCAGUUCAGCGCGGGGGAGAAAGGCUUCGGGAAUGUGGCUCCCUCGGGAGUGUUAUAGCCCGCUGCGUAAUGCCCUGCGCCGGACUGAGGUACGCGCAUUGCAAGGAUGCUGGCGUAAUGGUCAUCAGCGACCCGUCUUGAAACACGGACCAAGGAGUCGUCUUCGUAUGCGAGUGUUCGGGUGUCAAACCCCUACGCGUAAUGAAAGUGAACGCAGGUGAGAGCUUCGGCGCAUCACCGACCGAUCCUGAUGUUCUCGGAUGGAUUUGAGUAAGAGCAUACGGGGCCGGACCCGAAAGAAGGUGAACUAUGCCUGUAUAGGGUGAAGCCAGAGGAAACUCUGGUGGAGGCUCGCAGCGGUUCUGACGUGCGAAUCGAUCGUCAAAUAUGGGCA